rnacentral:rRNA from 1 species
AGCGAACGCUGGCGGCAGGCUUAACACAUGCAAGUCGAGCGGGCAUCCUUGUGGUGUCAGCGGCAGACGGGUGAGUAACGCGUGGGAACGUGCCCUUCGGUUCGGAAUAACUCAGGGAAACUUGAGCUAAUACCGGAUACGUGCGAGAGCAGAAAGGUUUAUCUGCCGAAGGAUCGGCCCGCGUCUGAUUAGCUAGUUGGUGAGGUUACGGCUCACCAAGGCGACGAUCAGUAGCUGGUCUGAGAGGAUGAUCAGCCACACUGGGACUGAGACACGGCCCAGAAUCCUACGGGAGGCAGCAGUGGGGAAUAUUGGACAAUGGGGGCAACCCUGAUCCAGCCAUGCCGCGUGAGUGAUGACGGCCUUAGGGUUGUAAAGCUCUUUUCUCCGGGACGAUAAUGACGGUACCGGAGGAAUAAGCCCCGGCUAACUUCGUG